UACGGAGGAUGCAAGCGUUAUCCGGAAUGAUUGGGCGUAAAGGGUCCGCAGGUGGCUGUGUAAGUCUGCUGUCAAAGAAUGAGGCUUAACCUCAUCAAGGCAGUGGAAACUACACAGCUAGAGUACGGUCGGGGUAGAAGGAAUUCCUGGUGUAGCGGUGAAAUGCGUAGAGAUCAGGAAGAACACCGGUGGCGAAAGCGUUCUGCUAGACCUGUACUGACACUGAGGGACGAAAGCUAGGGGAGCGAAUGGG
rnacentral:rRNA from 1 species